rnacentral:lncRNA from 1 species
AAAUGGGUAAAUUCAAGUAUUAUUUCCCAAAGGACUCUUAGGCCUUAACUUUCGUGUAACCUAAUUGCGUAAGACUUGAGAAGAAAUUUAAUUUUAAGUUUUUAAAUGAAAAAACAAAAGUAAACAUGCAAAUGCAAUGAAUCAAUGGUUGAGGAAAAACUAUGGAUGAAUGGUGUUGUUGGGGUUUACAAUUUCAUCUUAUCCACCCUCAUAUAUCUACUCUUCUUAUUUAAUUUGCUUAUUUAUCAUAUUGCCAUGCAAACUUUCUUGGUCUACCCUUAACCCAAUCCCUUGGCGAAAAGAGCCUAUUAUUAAUUACCGACUUGCUAUCUCUAGCCUCCCCUAGUAACUAAUAAUGCAUAAUAAACGGAAGCAAAAUACAAUUAAUUGUCCUACCCCUAUCUCUAGGCGGUAUUAGCAUAAUCAAGGAAUUCCC